rnacentral:rRNA from 1 species
GACGAACGCUGGCGGCGUGCUUAACACAUGCAAGUCGAACGGCAAGGCCCUGCUUUUGUGGGGUGCUCGAGUGGCGAACGGGUGAGUAACACGUGAGUAACCUGCCCUUGACUUUGGGAUAACUUCAGGAAACUGGGGCUAAUACCGGAUAGGAGCUCCUGCUGCAUGGUGGGGGUUGGAAAGUUUCGGCGGUUGGGGAUGGACGCGCGGCUUAUCAGCUUGUUGGUGGGGUAGUGGCUUACCAAGGCAUUGACGGGUAGCCGGCCUGAGAGGGUGACCGGCCACAUUGGGACUGAGAGACGGACCAGAGUCCUACGGGAGACAGCAGUGGGGAAUAUUGCACAAUGGGCGGAAGCCUGAUGCAGCGACGCCGCGGGCGGGAUGACGGCCUUCGGGUUGUAAACCGCUUUCGCCUGUGACGAAGCGUGAGUGACGGUAAUGGGUAAAGAAGCACCGGCUAACUACGUG